UCCCAUGUGGUCUAGUGGCUAGGAUACCUGGCUUUCACCCAGGAGGCCCGGGUUCGAUUCCGGCAUGGGAA
rnacentral:tRNA from 1 species